UCGCCAUCUUAUUUUCUCCGGAUGCUCAGCCGUCCUCUGAAUCCCUCCCUUUAUUUGUGCAAUAAAUACUCUGAUUUUGCUGCUCUGUCUGCCUCAUCUUGCAGCAUGACACCUUUGGACAUGAGGGUGGCAAGAUGGAGUCCCGACUACUGCUGUCGUCGCCUUGAGCUUGCUUGCCCUUGAUGGAAGAACCACAAGCUGGACUGCCACGGGUUGCUCGCUCUCACCAAACCAGACCAACAUCUUCAAGUUAUCAUUGAGGUGCAGGGCGAUUGGCUCUUGUGGCGGGCGGCUGUGCUCCCAGCAGCCAAGGAGAUAUGUGCGUUCGUGCGCAAGGACCCUAGGCAUCCCAUGUAUGCGGCCAAGGUGUCACGAGAUGAUUGCAUGGAGUAUCUCAUGGGAUAAUAUAAGAGGCAACAAUAGAUAAAAAGAUGCGAACAAAAAAGGCGACAAUGGUAGGAGUGGCAGAUUGUGUAGAGGAAGAGGAUGAGAAGAAACUUGUGCUUCUCAUCCAAUCUUUGUAGAGCUCUCUUGAUGUGCGAUUGUGCACUUGUUGGAUCAUCUUUCUGUGCACUUGUAGUUGCAUAAGUAUUAUAUUGUGCACUUGUAAAAUUAUUUUGAUGUACACUUGUUAGGCCUUGAAUCUUGAUGUGUAGAGGAGUCGGUGGAUGAUGUAUUGUAUUUCAUGUGAUGUGCUACUUAAAUGAAAUAUAUAGUUUAUUUGCAA